GAAGGCUGAAUUUUGUCUACCCGAACAGAAUAUAGAAGAAAUUGGCCAACCAGUGUGCGCGGGGUGGAAUCAGAAAUGCUCAUAGGAGCUGUCUSAGUCCACGGGGCGCAAACACGUGCCGAAAUGCAGCGCCGGAUCGGUUGCACAGGAUCGUCUUCCUGCCGUGACAUGUCAUUCCGAGAAGCCACAACACRCAGCAUGGAAACAACCAUGCAGAUCAAAGAAAAACAUGUCCGUCUUUUGCUGUUGCUGUCGCUCAGCUACUUCWGAAGAGGGGUCUUCAGUAAGGAGGGGACCCUCACAAUGAAGCUGGUAAACGUACUUGCCAUGGACACCCUGUUCUCAGAUAUCGCUCAAGCCUUCAACAAGCAGCACGAGGACCACUCUGCCAUGAAGAAGGCUGCCCAAAAGCUGAAGGAGCUUUCUGGCUGCGCUCCCACUGCUGGUCUUGCAGCCUGCGUAGAGCAGGCACAGCAGGAGCACGGUGCCCGCGAGGUGCAGGUGCACAUGGAGGGCUAUAGUUUUUCACUCAUUGUAAAGGAGAGGAAAGUGCCAGACAAACUGCAGCGGGUCCAGCAGCAGAUGGAGGAGCUGAGUAAUUCCACAAAACGUGUCCUUGCAACAGAAACUGCCCUGCAGGAAAUGAUCUGCUCAGUGCUUGAGAACCAGACUCAGCUGGCAGAGAGAAUCAAAUCUGCAAACCCAGAGUAUCUGGACCAGGUACGGCUAGAAGCUAAUCUAAGAGAGAACAUCCAAAAAAUCAGCCUGGCCAAGGAGCUCUCAGAGGAGUACAGCGAAGGGGCCAAGAGCAUUCUCCGGGAAAUGGCUCAGCUAGCUGGCUUGACGCUGUAAGGGGCUCCUGAAAUAGGGACAGGAUUGAUGUUAAUACCCUGUUGCACAUACAGAGCAAUAGCUUAGAGGAUGCCUGGGUGGUGUACUGACUUGGUGRUGUAGGUAAAGAGCCCUCAGCAAAUGGCUUAUGGGCAGCUCUGGGUCCCAAAUGUGUUUUAUCCAACGACAGGCAGAGGGAUGCAUCUGAGAAAAGGCUUUGAUUUUCACCUGAGCCAUUAUUACAGGUGGACAGAAAMUCACUGUUUCCAUGUAGUGCGUCAGAUCAGCCUAUCUGCAUUAAAGUAUGGCAAAACAAGGAGUACCUGACCAAAAUAAAGGCAACUUGGACUGGAAUUUGGUAAAAUUU
rnacentral:lncRNA from 1 species